rnacentral:rRNA from 1 species
UUCUGGUUGAUCCUGCCAGAGGCGACCGCUUUUGGAGUUCGAUUAAGCCAUGCGAGUCGAGAGCCUUAGGGGCUCGGCAUACUGCUCAGUAACACGUGGAUAACCUGCCCUAUUGUCUGGAAUAACCUCGGGAAACUGAGAACAAGGCCGGAUAACCCACAAUGCCUGGAACGGUUUGUGGGUGAAGAUAGGAUGGGUCUGCGGCGUAUCAGGUCGUAGGGGGUGUAAUGGACCUCCUAGCCAUCGACGCGUACGGGUGUUGGGAGACAUAGCCCGGAGAUGGAUUCUGAGACACGAAUCCAGACCCUACGGGGUGCAGCAGGCGCGAAAACUUCACACUGCAGGAAACUGUGAUGAGGGAACUCCAAGUGCAUUCACUAUGUGGAUGCUUUUUUUGACUAUUAAUCGGUCAACGAAUAAGGGCUGGGAAAGACCGGUGCCAGCCGCCGCGGUAAUACCGGCAGCUCAAGUGGUCGUCGCUUUUAUUGGGCCUAAAACGUCCGUAGCCUGUUUGGUAAAUCUGUGGGUAAAUCAACCAGCUUAACUGGUUGAAUUCUGCAGAGACUGCCAGACUAGGGACCGGGAGAGGUGUGGGGUACUCUAGGGGUAGGGGUAAAAUCCUGUCAUCCUUAGAGGACCACCAGUUGCGAAGGCGCCACACUGGAACGGAUCCGACGGUCAGGGACGAAGCCUAGGGGCACGAACCGGAUUAGAUACCCGGGUAGUCCUAGGUGUAAACGCUGUGAACUUGGUGUCGGGGAUCCGCAAUGGGUCCUCGGUGCCGGAGUGAAGAUGUUAAGUUCACUGCCUGGGGAGUACGGUCGCAAGGCUGAAACUUAAAGGAAUUGGCGGGGGAGCACUGCAACGGGAGGAGCGUGCGGUUUAAUUGGAUUCAACGCCGGGA